rnacentral:rRNA from 1 species
UGGGGAAUUUUGGACAAUGGGCGAAAGCCUGAUCCAGCAAUGCCGCGUGUGUGAAGAAGGCCUUCGGGUUGUAAAGCACUUUUGUCCGGAAAGAAAUCCUUGGCUCUAAUACAGUCGGGGGAUGACGGUACCGGAAGAAUAAGCACCGGCUAACUACGUGCCAGCAGCCGCGGUAAUACGUAGGGUGCAAGCGUUAAUCGGAAUUACUGGGCGUAAAGCGUGCGCAGGCGGUUUGCUAAGACCGAUGUGAAAUCCCCGGGCUCAACCUGGGAACUGCAUUGGUGACUGGCAGGCUAGAGUAUGGCAGAGGGGGGUAGAAUUCCACGUGUAGCAGUGAAAUGCGUAGAGAUGUGGAGGAAUACCGAUGGCGAAGGCAGCCCCCUGGGCCAAUACUGACGCUCAUGCACGAAAGCGUGGGGAGCAAACAGGAUCAGAUACCCUGGUAGUCCACGCCCUAAACGACGUCAACUAGUUGUUGGGGAUUCAUUUCCUUAGUAACGUAGCUAACGCGUGAAGUUGACCGCCUGGGGAGUACGGUCGCAAGAUUAAAACUCAAAGGAAUUGACGGGGUCAUAGCUGUUUCC